rnacentral:rRNA from 1 species
GACGAACGCUGGCGGCGUGCUUAACACAUGCAAGUCGAACGGAAAGGCCCUGCUUUUGUGGGGUGCUCGAGUGGCGAACGGGUGAGUAACACGUGAGUAACCUGCCCUUGACUUUGGGAUAACUUCAGGAAACUGGGGCUAAUACCGGAUAGGAGCUCCUGCUGCAUGGUGGGGGUUGGAAAGUUUCGGCGGUUGGGGAUGGAUUCGCGGCUUAUCAGCUUGUUGGUGGGGUAGUUGCUUACCAAGGUUUUGACGGGUAGCCGGCCUGAGAGGGUGACCGGGCACAUUGGGACUGAGGUACGGCCCAGACUCCUACGGGCGGCAGCAGUGGAGAAUAUUGCACAAUGGGCGGAAGCCUGAUGCAGCGACGCCGCGUGCGGGAUGACGGCCUUCGGGUUGUAAACCGCUUUCGCCUGUGACGAAGCGUGAGUGACGGUAAUGGGUAAAGAAGCACCGGCUAACUACGUG